UACGUAGGGGGCAAGCGUUGUCCGGAAUCAUUGGGCGUAAAGCGCGUGUAGGCGGUUCGGUAAGUCGGCUGUGAAAGUCCAGGGCUCAACCCUGGGAUGCCGGUCGAUACUGCCGGACUAGAGUUCGGAAGAGGCGAGUGGAAUUCCCGGGUGUAGCGGUGAAAUGCGCAGAUAUCGGGAGGAACACCAAUGGCGAAGGCAGCUCGCUGGGACGUUACUGACGCUGAGACGCGAAAGCGUGGGGAGCGAACAGG
rnacentral:rRNA from 1 species